UACGUAGGGGGCAAGCGUUGUCCGGAAUGAUUGGGCGUAAAGGGCGCGCAGGCGGCUCUGCAAGUCUGAUGUGAAAGGCUCCGGCUCAACCGGGGAAGGCCAUUGGAAACUGUGGAGCUUGAGUCCGGGAGAGGAGAGUGGAAUUCCACGUGUAGCGGUGAAAUGCGUAGAGAUGUGGAGGAACACCAGUGGCGAAGGCGGCUCUCUGGCCCGCGACUGACGCUGAGGCGCGAAAGCAUGGAUAGCGAACAGG
rnacentral:rRNA from 1 species